rnacentral:rRNA from 1 species
GCGGAGGAAAAGAAAAUAACAAUGAUUUCCCUAGUAACGGCGAGUGAAGAGGAAAGAGCUCAAAGUUGGAACCUGUUUGGCUUAGCUAAACCGGAUUGUAAACUGUAGAAGCGUUUUCCAGGCGCACCAAGCAAAUAAGUCCUUUGGAACAGGGCAUCAUAGAGGGUGAGAAUCCCGUCUUUGGCUUGAGUUGUCGUCUAUUGUGAUACGUUUUCAAAGAGUCAGGUUGUUUGGGAAUGCAGCCUAAAUUGGGUGGUAAAUCUCACCUAAAGCUAAAUAUUUGCGAGAGACCGAUAGCGAACAAGUACCGUGAGGGAAAGAUGAAAAGAACUUUGAAAAGAGAGUUAAACAGUAUGUGAAAUUGUUAAAAGGGAACCGUUUGGUGCCAGACUGGCUUGAUUGUAAUCAACCUGGGCUUCGGCUCGGGUGCACUUGCAGUCUAUGCCUGCCAACAACAGUUUGGUUUGGAGGAAAAAAUUAUAAGGAAUGUGGCCCCUUUUGGGGUGUUAUAGCCUUAUUUCAUACUCUGGACUGGACUGAGGAUCGCAGUGAAUGCCUUUAGGCAAGAUUGCUGGGUGCUUUCGCUGAUAAAUGCUAGAAUUUCUGCUKUGGGUGGUGCUAGUGUUUAAAGGAGGAACUCGCUUGGUAUAUUUUUUAUUCGCUUAGGUUGUUGGCUUAAUGACACUAAAUGAC